rnacentral:rRNA from 1 species
UACGUAGGGGGCUAGCGUUGUUCGGAAUUACUGGGCGUAAAGCGCACGUAGGCGGGCUGUUAAGUCAGGGGUGAAAUCCCGGAGCUCAACUCCGGAACUGCCUUUGAUACUGGCAAUCUAGAGACUGGAAGAGGUUAGUGGAAUUCCCAGUGUAGAGGUGAAAUUCGUAGAUAUUGGGAAGAACACCAGUGGCGAAGGCGGCCGACUGGACCACACCUGACGCUGAGGCACGAAGGCCAGGGGAGCGAACGGG